UACGUAGGGGGCUAGCGUUGUCCGGAAUCAUUGGGCGUAAGCGCGUGUAGGCGGUCCGGUAAGUCCGCUGUGAAAGUCGGGGGGCUCAACCCUCGGAUGCCGGUGGAUACUGUCGGGCUUGAGUUCGGUAGGGGAGACUGGAAUUCCUGGUGUAGCGGUGAAAUGCGCAGAGUAUCAAGGAGGGAACACCGGUGGCGAAGGCGGUUCUCUGGGCAUUACCUGACGCUGAGGAGCGAAAGUGUGGGGAGCGAACAGG
rnacentral:rRNA from 1 species